GAUGAACGCUGGCGGCGUGCCUAAUACAUGCAAGUCGAGCGAACGGACGAGAAGCUUGCUCCUCUGAUGUUAGCGGCGGACGGGUGAGUAACACGUGGAUAACCUACCUAUAAGACUGGGAUAACUUCGGGAAACCGGAGCUAAUACCGGAUAAUAUUUUGAACCGCAUGGUUCAAAAGUGAUAGACGGUCUUGCUGUCACUUAUAGAUGGAUCCGCGCUGCAUUAGCUAGUUGGUAAGGUAACGGCUUACCAAGGCGACGAUGCAUAGCCGACCUGAGAGGGUGAUCAGCCACACUGGAACUGAGACACGGUCCAGACUCCUACGGGAGGCAGCAGUAGGGAAUCUUGCGCAAUGGGCGAAAGCCUGACGGAGCAACGCCGCGUGAGUGAUGAAGGUCUUCGGAUUGUAAAGCUCUUUUAUUAGGGAAGAACAGAUGUGUAAGUAAAUGUGCACAUCUUGACGGUACCUAAUCAGAAAGCCCCGGCUAACUACGUG
rnacentral:rRNA from 1 species